rnacentral:rRNA from 1 species
UACGAAGGGGGCUAGCGUUGCUCGGAAUCACUGGGCGUAAAGCGCACGUAGGCGGACGCUUAAGUCGGUGGUGAAAUCCUGGAGCUCAACUCCAGAACUGCCUUCGAUACUGGGAGUCUCGAGUCCGGGAGAGGUGAGUGGAACUGCGAGUGUAGAGGUGAAAUUCGUAGAUAUUCGCAAGAACACCAGUGGCGAAGGCGGCUCACUGGCCCGGUACUGACGCUGAGGUGCGAAAGCGUGGGGAGCAAACAGG